UGACAAACGGUCAGCUCAGCUCCUUGCCUAUGCACCAGGGACAGUGCCCAGCACACGGUCACUGUGGUGGUCACAGAACACAGAACAGCUGUUUUUGAUAAUCAGGAUAGUAUAAGGAAGCACAGUCAUAGGCCCCUGGGGAAGCCUGAGAGACACCCACCGAGCAGGGAAGGGUCUGAUGAUGAGAGAGACCCCAACAGAGACAGUCAGGACUUUCUCCCCUCAAGUAUCUUGCAGGUAAGUGGAACGUAAAUGAAGGGUACGUGGAAGAAA
rnacentral:lncRNA from 1 species